AUUGAACGCUGGCGGCAUGCUUUACACAUGCAAGUCGAACGGUAACAGGCCGCAAGGUGCUGACGAGUGGCGAACGGGUGAGUAAUGCAUCGGAACGUGCCCAGUCGUGGGGGAUAACGCAGCGAAAGCUGCGCUAAUACCGCAUCCGAUCUAUGGAUGAAAGCGGGGGACCGUAAGGCCUCGCGCGAUUGGAGCGGCGGAUGUCAGAUUAGGCAGUUGGUGGGGUAAAGGCUCACCAAGCCGACGAUCUGUAGCUGGUCUGAGAGGACGACCAGCCACACUGGGACUGAGACACGGCCCUGACUCCUACGGGAGGCAGCAGUGGGGAAUUUUGGACAAUGGGGGCAACCCUGAUCCAGCAAUGCCGCGUGCAGGAAGAAGGCCUUCGGGUUGUAAACUGCUUUUGUACGGAGCGAAACGGCUCUGGUUAAUACCUGGGGCUAAUGACGGUACCGUAAGAAUAAGCACCGGCUAACUACGUGCCAGCAGCCGCCGUAA
rnacentral:rRNA from 1 species